rnacentral:rRNA from 1 species
UACGAAGGGUGCAAGCGUUAAUCGGAAUUACUGGGCGUAAAGCGUGCGCAGGCGGUUUUGUAAGUCUGACGUGGAAGCCCCGGGCUCAACCUGGGAAUUGCGUUGGAGACUGCAAGGCUUGAAUCUGGCAGAGGGGGGUAGAAUUCCACGUGUAGCAGUGAAAUGCGUAGAGAUGUGGAGGAACACCGAUGGCGAAGGCAGCCCCCUGGGUCAAGAUUGACGCUCAUGCACGAAAGCGUGGGGAGCAAACAGG